GGGCGAUUAGCUCAGUUGGUAGAGCGUCUGCUUUACACGCAGAAAGUCGCAGGUUCGAGUCCUGCAUCGCCCA
rnacentral:tRNA from 1 species